AGUGGGGAAUCUUCCGCAAUGGACGAAAGUCUGACGGAGCAACGCCGCGUGAGUGAAGAAGGCCUUCGGGUCGUAAAGCUCUGUCGUUUGGGACGAACGUGGAAUGUGUGAAUAAUGCAUUCUAAUGACGGUACCAAAGGAGGAAGCCACGGCUAACUACGUGCCAGCAGCCGCGGUAAUACGUAGGUGGCAAGCGUUGUCCGGAAUUAUUGGGCGUAAAGGGCGUGUAGGUGGAUUCUUAAGUCGUGUGUCUAAGUGCGAAGCUCAACUUCGUAUAGGCGCAGGAAACUGGGAAUCUUGAGUGCAGGAGAGGAAAGUGGAAUUCCCAGUGUAGCGGUGAAAUGCGUAGAUAUUGGGAGGAACACCAGUGGCGAAGGCGACUUUCUGGACUGUGUCUGACACUGAGGCGCGAAAGCUAGGGGAGCGAACGGGAUUAGAUACCCCGGUAGUCCUAGCCGUAAACGAUGGGUACUAGGUGUAGAGGGUAUCGACCCCUUCUGUGCCGGAGUUAACGCAAUAAGUACCCCGCCUGGGAAGUACGGCCGCAAGGUUG
rnacentral:rRNA from 1 species